GAUAAUGGGUAACACAAAAAAUCAUUCCAAAAUAUGGGAAACCAGAAAAAAUUCAGUAAUGAUCCUCGGCCACAGGAAAAUGAAGCCCCACCCCACGCCCUCCCAAAUCUGAAUUCAAACCAGCCUUCUAAUUUACUAUAUUUCAGCUCCAAUGGCUUCACCAGCAGCAGCUCCGCCGGCUGUAUUUUUUCUUGGACUGAGGUACCAAAAGAGAAUUCGAAGCGCGAAAUUGGGUAAGACGAAGAAGAAAUAUGCAUGGAAAUUUUACGGUUUAUGCAGUUAAAGAUCCGAACAGCCGGCAAUAGGCACCUCCUGCAGUGGACACGAGAAUUCAUUGGGAGAAUGAGAAUGAGGGCUGGUUAGGGGAAAGUAAUUCCCAGUCACAGACAACACAAUUCAAAGAUGAGGAGAAACUUCUGAAUGAAAAAUUCUCGGAUCUACUCAACGGUUCAUCUGAUUCUUAUUGCCAGUAAGUCUUGAUUAUCUAUAAUUUCUUGGUUUUUAGCUGAAGUUAUUAUAAUUGUUUGAUUUAUGUGCCCAAGAUUUCAUAUUAUUUGAAUAGCUGGCUGGCAGUUCAUGUUCCUGCUAAAUCAAGAAAGGAAAAAACAGAUAUACUCCAUUUUCUGAAUUUGUAGCGUUGGGGGUAUGUUUUGGUAAAGAGACUCAGACCAGACAAGACAAGAUUAUAUAGAAAAUCAAUAUCAAAUAAAUAAAAGGGAUCAAAUUUUUUUUUUUGAGUUAUUGAUAUUAAAUUAAGAGAGAGGUCCCAUUCUCUUAUUGAAUUGAUAAUACUUGUGUAUCAUAGUCAGUAGCUAGAUAUGCAUGGCCCAUUUCAAUAGGUUUUGAAGAUAAAAAUCCUUUAUCGAGCAGCCAUAAACUCGCUUUCUCUCCACGAAGAAGAUCGAAUGAACACUUUCUUGUGAGGGAAUAUCUUUGCAGAUGAAUUAGCUUUUUCUGUUCUUGUUUCUUGAAUACCUUCGGUGGUUCCUAUCCUCAGAAAAUAUAAGGUUUUCAUAAGGUUGAAAGGACAUCUAAGCAUGAAUAAUUUCAUUUAAUCAUAGAGCAUCUCUUCUUUAGACUAAAUAAUGUGGACAAUGGCAUUGCAUCCAUUCAAUAUUAAGGUUUUUCAAGAAUAUUAUUUUAACUAAAAAAACUGGUACCAAUAUUGCAGGCAAACCUGCUAUGGUGCCAAAGAGGGUUUGACGCCUUCCUUGAUAAACCCUCACAAUAGGGGGCAAGAAUUUUUUGGACAUUUGUUAUUCACGUGAGUCCCACUCCAUGUGAGUAUCUAUCAACAAGAACGUCAAAUUCCUUCUGGCAAAGGAACUUAAUUCUUUUGCAGGUUCUUAGAGAAGCUGCAAAUGCAAAUUUGGAAGAAAUAAAAGCCGCUUACCAGAAGUUGUCGAAGGAAUACCAUCCUGACACUGCAGAACUUCCUCUGAAAGUUGCUUCAAAAAAGCUCAUGAAAUUACGAGAAAUUUACAGUGUUCCGAGCAACAACGAGAAACGCAAGUUCCACGACUGGUCA
rnacentral:lncRNA from 1 species